rnacentral:rRNA from 1 species
AUUGAACGCUGGCGGAAUGCUUUACACAUGCAAGUCGAACGGCAGCACGGACUUCGGUCUGGUGGCGAGUGGCGAACGGGUGAGUAAUGUAUAGGAACGUGCCCAGUCGUGGGGGAUAACGUAGUGAAAAUUACGCUAAUACCGCAUACGAUCUAGGGAUGAAAGCGGGGGAUCGCAAGACCUCGCGCGAUUGGAGCGGCCGAUAUCAGAUUAGGUAGUUGGUGGGGUAAAGGCCCACCAAGACAACGAUCUGUAGCGGGUCUGAGAGGACGUCGAGCCAAACUGGAACUGGGACACGGCCCAGACUCCUACGGGAGGCAGCAGUGGGGAAUUUUGGACGAUGGGCGAAGUCCUGAUCCAGCCAUUCCGCGUGCAGGAUGAAGGCCCUCGGGUUGUAAACUGCUUUUGUACAGAACGAAAAGGUUUCUACUAAUACUAGGAGCUCAUGACGGUACUGUAAGAAUAAGCACCGGCUAACUACGUGCCAGCAGCCGCCGUAA